CCUACGGGAGGCAGCAGUGAGGAAUAUUGGUCAAUGGGCUUACGCCUGAACCAGCCAAGUCGCGUGAGGGAAGACUGCCCUAUGGGUUGUAAACCUCUUUUGUCAGGGAGCAACGCCGGCUACGUGUAGCCGGACUGAGAGUACCUGAAGAAAAAGCAUCGGCUAACUCCGUGCCAGCAGCCGCGGUAAUACGGAGGAUGCGAGCGUUAUCCGGAUUUAUUGGGUUUAAAGGGUGCGUAGGCGGAAUGCCAAGUCAGCGGUAAAAUCGCGGGGCUCAACCUCGCUCCGCCGUUGAAACUGGCGGUCUUGAGUGGGCGAGAAUUACGCGGAAUGCGUGGUGUAGCGGUGAAAUGCAUAGAUAUCACGCAGAACUCCGAUUGCGAAGGCAGCAUACCGGCGCCCAACUGACGCUGAAGCACGAAAGCGUGGGUAUCGAACAGGAUUAGAUACCCCAGUAGUC
rnacentral:rRNA from 1 species